rnacentral:rRNA from 1 species
CAGUAGCCACGGGAAAACGUAGGGGGCGAGCGUUGUCCGAAGUUACUGGGCGUAAAGCGCGCGUAGGCUGUCUCUUAAGUUUGGGGUGAAAGGUUCACGGCUCAACCGGAACAGCGCCUUGAAUACUGGGAGACUUGAGUUUGGCAGAGGAUAGUGGAAUUCCUGGUGUAGCGGUGAAAUGCGUAGAUAUCAGGAGGAACACCCAUGGCGUAGGCAGCUAUCUGGGCUAAAACUGACGCUGAGGUGCGAAAGCGUGGGGAGCGAACGGGAUUAGAUACCCGCGUAGUCCCUGUCUCUUAUU